rnacentral:tRNA from 4 species
CGUAGCUCAAUGGCAGAGCAUCCGACUGUUAAUCGGACGGUUAUUGGUUCGAGUCCAAUC